rnacentral:rRNA from 1 species
AGUGAACGCUGGCGGUAGGCCUAACACAUGCAAGUCGAACGGCAGCACAGUAAGAGCUUGCUCUUACGGGUGGCGAGUGGCGGACGGGUGAGGAAUACAUCGGAAUCUACUUUUUCGUGGGGGAUAACGUAGGGAAACUUACGAUAAUACCGCAUACGACCUACGGGUGAAAGCAGGGGAUCUUCGGACCUUGCGCGAUUGAAUGAGCCGAUGUCGGAUUAGCUAGUUGGCGGGGUAAAGGCCAACCAAGGCGACGAUCCGUAGCUGGACUGAGAGGAUGAUCAGCCACACUGGAACGGAGACACGGUCCAGACUCCUACGAGAGGCAGCAGUGGCGAAUAUUGGACAAUGGGCGCAAGCCUGAUCCAGCCAUACCGCGUGGGUGAAGAAGGCCUUCGGGUUGUAAAGCCCUUUUGUUGGGAAAGAAAAGCAGCAGGUUAAUACCCCGCUGUUCUGACGGUACCCAAAGAAUAAGCACCGGCUAACUUCGUG